rnacentral:rRNA from 1 species
UUACGGGAGGCACGCAGUAGGGAAUCUUCCACAAUGGACGAAAGUCUGAUGGAGCAACGCCGCGUGAGUGAAGAAGGGUUUCGGCUCGUAAAGCUCUGUUGGUAGUGAAGAAAGAUAGAGGUAGUAACGGGCCUUUAUUGACGGUAAUUAC